CACAAACACGGAACUAAUGUGAAUUUUGGUGCUGCUCGAAUUAGCUACGUUAUAUGUAGUUAGUUUUAGUUUAGUUUAAGUAAUGGAAAAGAUUCGUGCACGCUUAAAUAUUGGAAACAAAGCAGAGCCUGUUAAAAUGAGGAAACGAAAAUCCCAACUAUAUAGUGAAGAAGAAACAUGUCCUCUUGAUAAUGGUGUAUUGGGGGUCCAUGUCAGUGUCUUCACUGUGGCAUUUCGUCUCAUCAACUGCUUCCUGGUCCAGACCAGCUUUGUCCCGGAUGAGUACUGGCAGUCCCUCGAAAUCGCACAUCUUAUGGUUUUUGAAUAUUCUUGCAACAAUAUUCUUGAGUUUAAGCAGUACCCUUCUAAUAACCUUUUUGUGGACAAUAGGCUGUGUAUUCUGCUAAAUCCUUAAUAACUUCACCUGUAGCUAUUUGACGUGGGAGUGGACAGCAGAUAUAAGAGGGUUCUCCUACCCUCUCUUCUUUGCAGCUAUAUAUAAGAUAUUGCACUUCUUCACCUAUGACGCAGUUCAACUCUUGUACCUCUGCCAGCUCUGUUCUUGGUUCACAUGGCACUGCUGCACUCGGACCGUGACCAACACCAUGGAGACCACACUCACAACUCUGGCUCUCUAUUACUAUCCUCUGCCUGGCUUUAAAACACACAACAGGUUGGACUUACACCGAUACACAACUCGAACAUAAAACCAUUUCACUUACUGUGCAUCUAAGUAUUUCCCAUUACACGGAAAGUUACAAAAUACCUUUACAAAAGUUAUACCUUUUAAUAACGCUCCAUUAAUAACAUUCUGUUUAAAACAGAGUUUGCUUGUUUUCUUUCGCACACAAAAUAUUUGAUCCUGGUUGCCUUGGCAGUCAUUGUUCGUCCGACAGCCUUGCUUGUGUGGCCUCUGUUGGUGUACCACUUCUGGCAGGAAGAUAAGAAGCUGAAACUCAUAACUCACCUUUGCCUUCCCAUUGGGUGAGUGCUUUGAUUUGAGAAAGACCAUUGUGCCUCAGCUGCAGAGUGAGGUUUUGACUGCAUGUUCUAUGGAAAGGUAGGAAAAGCAUUGUUUAAAAAAUAAUAAAGUAAAGGUAAUUAUAAAUCACAAGCUGUAAUGUUUGUGUUAAUUAACACAAGUGCAUUAAAACCAUUUUCUCUAGCAGUGGACCCUGGUGCAGUACAACUUCCUUAAGUUUAAUGUUUUUCACAACGCGGCUGAGUUCUAUGGCUCUCAUCCAUGGCACUGGUACUUUACUCAGGGUUUUGUGGUCGUCAUUGGCCCUCAUCUUCCUUUCUUCCUGUAUGGAUGCACACUGGCUUCAAAAAGAUACAGAAUCAUGUUAAUAACAAUAGUCUGGACAGUAAUGGUUUACAGUUGUCUUGCGCACAAGGAGUUCAGAUUCAUCUACCCUGUUUUGCCUUUCUGCAUGGUAUUUUGUGAGUGCUACAAUUUCCUGAAAGAUUCCAAUGACUGCAAGUAACCAAACUAGCAACAUACAGUCAUACCCUAUGCACGACAUGGGGUCCUCGUUUAUUGCAGGGAUAGCUUUGGUGAAUCUGAGAACCUGGAGACGGCCUACCGCAUGUGCCUUAUUGGUCUCCAACCUAGUCCCAGCCCUGUACACAGUUCUGCUUCACCAGCGAGGCACACUGGUUGUCAUGGGUCUCCUCCAGACCCUGUGUGACAACAGCGAUCCUUCAACCCCGCCACUGCCUGAAGUCCUCUUUCUAAUGCCCUGUCACUCUACACCUUUCUACAGAUCUCACAGGAGACAAGAGCUAUGUCGAUGAAGCUGAGAGAUUCUUCGCUGAUCCUCAUCAUUGGUUGACCUCAUUUCCUUAUACAUCAAUGCUGCCAACCCACCUGGUGUUCUUUGAUGUUCUGAAGAAGGUUAGAUACCCUGCAUUUUGUAAUUCAAGACUAAUGACUAAUGGCUCCUUCACUGUUACAAUCACUUUUAUUAUUAGCUUUUUCUGUCCUCGGGAGAUCUCUGCAUUCUUGGAGGGGAAUAGAUUUAUGAGAAGUACAGAAAUAUUCCACAGUCACGUUCCUGAAGGACGAGUUGGAAAAAGCAUCCUAGUUUAUCAAAGGCACUGAACAGAAUGAGAAUACAUUUCUAAGAAGCACAAAGAUUUUCCUUACUCAUGUAUCUCAAGGAUGAGUUUGAAGAAGCAUCCUAGUUUACAAAAUGCACUGAACAGAACCAUCUUGACCAUUGGCACAAGCCAUUGGGAAGUUAUAUCAAAAUGGAUCUGUAAUGUAGAGGAAUAAAUUAUAAUUAAAACUGAAUAACAGAUUGAUCUUUUAAACACUGAAAAUAAUGCAACACCUAGCCAGACAGCCCACUAUAUUAGGGGGGGAGAAGCAAUUAAUAUUCACUUUUUUUUAUUGGGAAGCUGCAAUUAAUUUUCAACAGCACAUCUGUAAAUGAAAGGAAAUAAAUCAGCCUUAAUAAAACAAGCCAAAGUUGGAAUGUUACUGAACAAUUUAACGACAACACAGUUGCACUUUAUCUCACCAUUUUAAACAUAUGUAACGUAGCAGCAAAUUAUAGAAAUCGACUGUGGAACCAGCUUGCAUUCUUGCAAGUAUUUCUCAGUGGUUUUGCUACUUUUAAAGUUUUACUGCACACAACAGUAUCAUUGUCAGCAAUUGUUUAGGCUAUCAUCUCACAAUUAUCAAUUUGGAAUGGAAAUUAAAGUGUAUUUGUCAGUGCAUAACUUCUCAAUGCCACUGACAAAUUAUAUUUCUUUCCAUUGUUGGAUCCAUCCAAUGAAUCAUUAUUCAUUCGCAAUAGGCCUACAUUUAGACAAUUAAAAUGGUAACAGAUGAUUUUUUUUUUUAAACAAGGCCCAAAAAUAAGAAAUGUUGUACAAAUUAGUCAGUGAUGGCUCUUAAAAAGAACAUGAAACAGCUGACCUGAUGACAAUGAAUGUGUACUACAGAGUUAGCUACUGUCAGAUUUACUUACUGUAUUCCCAUGUUUAA